ensembl:lncRNA
CUCCCACUAGGUUCCUACAUAUAACAACCCCCUGGAGCCUGAGUCACCAUGGUAACGAUUGUGUGAGCUUUCUUCAGGAACACUUCAGGCCAGUUGAGAUCAUCAACUCAUCAACCAGCCCACGGCAGAUGUCUGAUAGCGACCUUUUGACAUCAGGAAGCUAAAAACUCCACCCUCAGGUCAUGCUAACUCUUGCCAUUUUGUGAACCUGUGUCCUAUGAAGAGGCAUGAAGUCUGACUAUGCUUGCACAGAUUAUCAAUUACCUCACCUCUCCUCAUCUCCAAUGACCUACCUCCACAUUUCAGACCACCUUGCCCCUCAUCCCAUAAAUAUCCUUGAGUCCCUAUUUUUGGGGAAGCAAAUUUGACGCUCAUGCUCUCGCUUCCUCAUGUGGCUGCUUUGCGACUUGGCCCUGCUUUCCCCAGCUUUGGUGAUGAGGACGUCUCUAGCUCCCCAGGUGUGGGAGACAGUUGCUGUUCAAGAAGCAAACCCCAAACUCGCAGUGUUUCUGAACCAAAUGGAACUCGCCCUAAGCCUACACAGCGGGAACUUCUGCACGACUGAGAGUUUUCUAAUUAACUUCCUGAUAGAAUACAAUUACUAACGGAUAACUAAGAAAAUGUGUCAAAUUGAAGCUUACAUAUGUACUAUUAAAAAGCAAUUGUACCUGCAGAAAUUGUUUAGAACUACGAAAAACACAGGAUUUUUUGUGGAGUAUUUUGUCACAGACAUUAUUCAGAAUUGCAGACACAUGGUGAUCUAAAAAAAUGAACUGACUUCUAGUCAGUUGUAUUCCUGUGUUUAACUUCUCUACAAACCAUGUGUCCUUUACUGCCUGCACGAGGGGCGGGCUGGGCCCGCGACUCCGUCCUUCGUUUGCCGUGGUUUGAAAGGACGGACUUAACGCUGCAAGCUUUUACGUCUGUCCGUUUAAACUAACAGUCUUGAAGUUGAGUGUUUUUAUUUUAGAUCUAAGACCUCUCGAGAGCGAAAGGGCGAACAAACGGAAAGUCUGCUAAAUCCUUUUUCUCAGACAUAAAUGCUUAGGAUUUUUAGAGCAUCUUUUACAAAUUGAGAAUUUGAAGGAAAAAAUGAUGAACGGGGUUUUCCAAGUUCCAGAAGAGUGUUUGGCGCCCUCUUGUGGACAGUUUGAAAAUAGACCUAUCAGAUGCUGUAUAAAUAAAUAAUUGCUUACAUUGCUUAUUAAGAGCCGUGCUUUGGGCUAAGCCCUGUGCGUGCACUAUCUCAUCCUUACAACUGCCUAUAAAUUAGGCGUCUGAUUCCAAUUUUGCCAGUGAUAGAACUAACUCAGGGAGACCGGGUAAAUUGACCACAGCCACACAGCUAGCAAGUGGCAAAGGUGGGAUUUGCAGAGUUUUGUCUUAUUCCAGAAUCUAAACUCUUAACCACUGCGGACACACUACCGUCUCUGCACCUCAGAGCCUGGGGGCUUGAGGAGUGCUCACCCCAAACUGUGCUUCCAGAACUAUAGUUACUGGCACAAUUGUGGUGGAAAGAUCUAAAAGUAGUUUUUUGAUGUUCACUUAAAGGUUGUGAUUUGCUCUUGAAAGUAAGCCACUGUGGCUUGGUUUGUCAUUAUAUUCUUCUUACAUUUUUGUUCCUUUUGUGUCUUAACAUGUUCUGGCCAGUUCAUGGCAAUGGUCAUCCGUGUCUAGCAAUAGUAACUCUCAACUUUAAAUAACGUUAGCAAUAUGCUUCAUCUGUGAGGCCCCAACAAUCGUAGAACCAUAGAGUUAAAACGAGCCAGUUCUGCAAGGACCUAGGCAUUAUUUGAUUUGGUGAUUUCACAAUGUAGGCAUCUUGAAAACCAGUUGUCACAAUGAUUGGAGGGUGCUACUGAUGUUUAGUGGGAGGGGCCCUGGAUGUCCCACAAUGCCCAGGACAGGUCACAGCAGGAAGAGGUCCCAUAAGACUUUCCAAGACAUUCUGAGAUGGAAUGCCUGCUUCAACUUGUGAUGGGGUUUCAAGGUCUGGGAUAUCUUUUCCGUGAUGUUUCAUCACUCCCACAUCCAGUGUCAUCACAAGGAAUUAUUUUGACACUGCCCUUAUAAAUAAGGCCUGGAUGAUUUGCAAGAAUGUCCUACUCUCUUAUUUGCCUUUACAAUCUGUAAUUUAUCUUGGCAUCUUAUCUCUACCUAAGGUAUUUUCCUUUCUUGUCAUAUUCCAAUCAGUCAGCUCUGGUAAUACUUAACACUAACUUUUAUCCCUCUGUCUAGCUAUUCUUCUCCUUUUUCUUCUCUGUCCUUCUAGAAAAUAGCUCCUGAUAUUCUGACUUUUCUUAAAGUUUCUUCAUUUUAAGUAGGUG